AGCAGUGAUGAAAUUCCACUCCAUUGGUCCGUGUUUCUGAAUCCGAUGAUGUUUUUUCCUGGAUGUUCUGAUGCU